UCACCUGUUAUAUCAAUGAAAGAUAUAAAAUAUAUGCCUUUUCAUAGAUUUUCAGCUCUGUUGAUUUAUGUAUGAUGUACGUACCUUAGGGCUAUCAGAGCCGGGUGUAACCAUGUUAGGUUUCAAGAGGGUUCCUUCAAGAAGCACGUGUUGCUCAUUGAGAGCCUUGUAAACCGCAGCUAGCACCAUCUCGGUUGCAUACGCGCAUUUCUUGAUAUCAUGGCUUCCGUCGGUCAAUAUCUCCGGCUCAACAAUUGGUACAAGACCAUUCUCUUGACAAAUGAUUGCAUAGCGAGCCAACCCUUGGGCGUUCUGUUGGAUAGACAGCUCCGAGGGUUCAGUCGCUCCAAUCUUAAGCACUGCACGCCAUUUCGCAAACCGGGCACCAGCUUCGUAGUACUUGGCACAACGAGCACCAAGCCCAUCUAACCCUUGAGUGGUGGUCUCACCAUUUGUGCCGGAGAGGUCAACCACACCCUUAUCGACUUUAAUCCCCGGAAGGACAUUGGCCUCAAGGAGAACGUCAACAAAAGGCUUCCCGUCGGCGGUUUUCUGGUAAAGGGUUUCCUCGAAGAGAAUGACACCGGAGAGGUAAGUCACUGCGUUUGGAGCAGUGAAGAGAAGUUCACGGAGGGCUUGACGGUUUGACUCGACAUUCUCAACGUUGAUGCUCGACAGACGUUUCCCGAUGGUUCCGGUGCUCUCAUCUGCAGCCAAUAUACCCUUCCCCGGUGUGGCGA
rnacentral:lncRNA from 1 species